AGAGUUUGAUCCUGGCUCAGAACGUACGCUGGCGGCGUGCUUAACACAUGCAAGUCGAACGCGAAAGUUUCUCUUCGGAGAGGCGAGUAGAGUGGCAGACGGGGGAGUAACACGUGGGUAAUCUGCCCCUAGGCGAGGGAUAACCACUGGAAACGGUGGCUAAUACCUCAUAAGACCACGGCUCUUCGGAUUAGUGGUAAAAGUCUUCGGACACCAAGGGAGGAGCCCGCGGUCGAUUAGCUAGUUGGUGGGGUAACGGCCUACCAAGGCGACGAUCGAUAGCUGGUCUGAGAGGAUGAUCAGCCACACUGGUACUUAGACACGGACCAGACUCCUACGGGAGGCAGCAGUGGGGAAUAUUGCGCAAUGGACGAAAGUCUGACGCAGCAACGCCGCGUGGGUGAAGAAGGUUUUCGGAUCGUAAAACCCUGUCAGAUGGGAAGAAACCUGCUUAGCAGCUGACGGUACCAUCAAAGGAAGCACCGGCUAACUCCGUGCCAGCAGCCGCGGUAAUACGGAGGGUGCAAGCGUUGUUCGGAAUCACUGGGCGUAAAGGGCGCGCGUAGGCACUAUGAAGUCUCCGAUGUGAAAGCCCGGGGCUCAACCCCGGAAGUGCAUUGGAAACUGGCAGUCUUGAGUUCGGGAGAGGAAGGCAGAAUUCCCGGUGUAGGGGUGAAAUCCGUAGAUAUCGGGAGGAAAAUCAGUGGCGAAGGCGGCCCUCUGGAACGUAACUGACGCUGAGGCGCGAAAGCGUGGGGAGCAAACAGGAUUAGAGACCCUGGUAGUCCACGCUGUAAACGAUGGGUGCUAGGUGUAGGGGAUAUUAAAAUUCUCUGUGCCGUAGCUAACGCGAUAAGCACCCCGCCUGGGGAGUACGGUCGCAAGACUAAAACUCAAAGGAAUUGACGGGGGCCUGCACAAGCGGUGGAGUAUGUGGUUUAAUUCGACGCAACGCGAAGAACCUUACCUGGAUUUGACAUCCCGUGACAGCUGUAGAGAUACAGUCUUCCCUUCGGGGACACGGUGACAGGUGCUGCAUGGCUGUCGUCAGCUCGUGUCCGUGAGAUGUUGGGUUAAGUCCCGCAACGAGCGCAACCCCUGUCCCAUGUUGCUAACAGGUAAUGCUGAGCACUCUUGGGAGACUGCCGGUGUUAAGCCGGAGGAAGGUGGGGAUGACGUCAAGUCCUCAUGGCCCUUAUACCCAGGGCUACACACGUACUACAAUGGCCGGUACAAAGAGCAGCGAACCCGCGAGGGCACGCAAAUCUCAGAAAGCCGGUCUCAGUUCGGAUUGGAGUCUGCAACUCGACUCCAUGAAGGCGGAAUCGCUAGUAAUCGCGGAUCAGCAUGCCGCGGUGAAUACGUUCCCGGGCCUUGUACACACCGCCCGUCACACCAUGAGAGUCGCUUGUACCAGAAGUGCGUAGGCCAACCCUUUGGGGAGGCAGCGUACCAAGGUGUGGGUGGUAAUUGGGGUGAAGUCGUAACAAGGUAACC
rnacentral:rRNA from 1 species